UGGUUUCCGUUGCUUGCGGGCGCGUAGUGUAACACACCGCUCCUCUCUCCGCAUCAAGAGUGCAAAAACGAAGUUGAGGAUCAUGGAGGAAACGACAAGUAUAAACAAAGUAGUUUCACCUUCCUCACCUCUCAUUGCAUGCGUCGCGCAGUGGCGGACUCAGAGGGGGGAGAGGGGGCAGUAACGGAGACGAGGCAGCAGCCUUGAUGUAUCCGUGGGCAUCGUCGAGGAAGGCUAGUCGUGCAAUAUGUGGUUGGGAUACUGAACUGGCCUUUUCGUUGUACGUUUCCCUCUGCAGCGUUGCCAUUUGCCGCACUUCGCCUCUCGCGUCUCCUCGCAAUCACAGCCGCCGUGGGCCGAUGACCAUGUGCGCUUGUGCCUGUCUAAGUGUGGCUUGCUCGUUUGCUUUCCACGUCCCAGCGGCCAUGAAUCUUUCGAUGGUCAUACCGCCAGAGUUCCCCCUUCCCUCGCCAUGCGCUUGCCGCCCUUGAUUCGAAGGUGUGUAGUUCCUUGAUUCUUGUUUCCUCCUUUGACCCUCUCUUCCUUUCUCCUUUGUCCACCCUCUCUCUCACGAUGUGGGCGUGCCUUUUCUAAG
rnacentral:misc_RNA from 1 species